GAUGAACGCUAGCGGCAGGCUUAACACAUGCAAGUCGAGGGGCAGCAUGAAGGUUAGCAAUAACCUUUGAUGGCGACCGGCGCAAGGGUGCGUAACGCGUGAGCAACUUGCCCGUUUCAGGGGGAUAACCCGGUGGAAACGCCGACUAAUACCCCAUGGCAUCAUCAGGAGGCAUCUCCUUAUGAUUAAAGAAUUUCGGAAACGGAUAGGCUCGCGUGACAUUAGCUAGACGGCGGGGUAACGGCCCACCGUGGCGACGAUCAGUAGCCGGUCUGAGAGGAUGAACGGCCACAUUGGGACUGAGAUACGGCCCAGACUCCUACGGGAGGCAGCAGUGGGGAAUAUUGCACAAUGGGGGAAACCCUGAUGCAGCGACGCCGCGUGAGUGAAGAAGUAUUUCGGUAUGUAAAGCUCUAUCAGCAGGGAAGAUAAUGACGGUACCUGACUAAGAAGCCCCGGCUAACUACGUAG
rnacentral:rRNA from 1 species